rnacentral:lncRNA from 1 species
CACUGAGCCAACCCCUUUACUCACGAAACUCAAGUUUUCUUUGAAAGAACAACAGAGAGUUAAGUGAGAAAGAUCACAAGGAGGCAGAGAGGCAGACAGAGGAAGAGGAGGAAGCAGGCUCCCCGCUGAGCAGAGAGCCCGAUGUGGGGCUCGAUCCCAGGAUCCUGAGAUCAUGACCUGAGCUGAAGGCAGAGGCUUUAACCCACUGAGCCACCCAGGCGCCCACUCUCUGAUCCAUU